GGAUGUGAGGGCAAUCUGGCUAUGACAUCUGUCAACUCACUGAUCACCAGGGUUGUGCCCUUCCUCCCUUACCACUCCUCCUGUAGCUGUGCUCUCCGUGGAAAAGGACGGCCUUCCGUGAAUAGAGAAGGAUAGUCUUUAGUCAAGGAUAUAUGAGUAGCUGCACUCCCCUGCUAGAACCUCCAAACAUGCUCUCAAACAUGUGUCCAGUAGCCUCUAGUGUUAACUGCACAUUAAAAUCAUCUGGGAAGCACUAAUU
rnacentral:snRNA from 1 species